UACGAAGGGUGCAAGCGUUACUCGGAAUUACUGGGCGUAAAGCGUGCGCAGGCGGUUUCUUAAGUCCGUUGUGAAAGCCCUGGGCUCAACCUGGGAAUGGCAGUGGAUACUGGGAAGCUAGAGUGCGGUAGAGGAUGGUGGAAUUCCCGGUGUAGCGGUGAAAUGCGUAGAGAUCGGGAGGAACAUCAGUGGCGAAGGCGGCCAUCUGGACCAGCACUGACACUGAGGCACGAAAGCGUGGGGAGCAAACAGG
rnacentral:rRNA from 1 species